UUACGGCCAUAUCACACUGAAACACCAGUUUUCAUAUGAUCAACAAAGUUAAGUAAGGCUGAGCCUGGUCAGUAUCUAAAUGGGUGACUGCUUGGGAAUACCAGAUGUUGUAAG